CGUUUAGAAUCUAUGAUAGGAAUGUAAAGGUUUACCAUUAGUAUGCAACCCACAUAAGAAUAUGAAUCAUUCUAUUUUGUUAAGUGCAUGAGAAUGACAUGAUAUAACAAGAAAAGCUCUGUUUUCUAUUAACUUAAUGAUUAUUCAUAUAUGUAGAAGUAUUCACAUCAUCUUUAGCACAAGGCCCUUACCCAGGGAUAAUAAUACCGUGGUUCAAAUAAUUAAGUUACAAGUUUACGUAUGUUCUAAGUUUAAGUCUGUUAUAAGUUUACGUAUGCUCUAAGUCAAGAAUGUUACAAGUUUAUAUAUGUGUGACAAGUUCAAAUAUGUACAAGUUUAAGUAAGGUUACAAGUACAAGUAUGUACAAGUUUAAAUGUGUUACAAGUUUUCAAGUUUAAGUAUGUUAUAAGUUCAUGUAUGUUACAAGUCCAAGUAUGUUAUAAGUCCAUGUAUGUUAUAAAUUCAAGUAUGUUACAAGUAUACGCAUGUUAUAAGUUUAAGUACGAUACAAGUUUAAGUACGAUACAAGCGUAAGUAUGUUACAAGCUACGUUACAUGCUUACAUAUGUACAAGUUCAAGUGUAUUAUAAGUUCACAAUGUUGAGGAAUUUCUUUAUAGAACUAACAAGAAUGCUUUUUAUUGAUUUGCCAGCGCUAUUAAAAGGCUAAGUAUAAGUAACCAACCAAGUGGUCAGUCCUAAACCAUGACGCUUGUCCUCUUUGGUCAACCUUUCCAUGUCCAAGCCUAAGAGAAGCUGCUCUUGUUUUCAUGAAGUUUUGACGAACUUUGGUUUUGCACUCUAGUUGUGGGCCUAAGGUUGAAAUGUGUACAACACUUUCUUCCGAAAUGUUUUGGUGUAUGCCCAAUUAUAGAGCUGGGCUUGUGUAUAUGUGCGUAUAUAUCCGAUAUUCAGAUGUAUGUUUUAGAUUUUAUUUGUCUGUUUAAAGUUUGUGAUCCUGGCAUGAUAGUAGUAGCUUAAUGGAGUUUGUUUC